GAUGAACGCUAGCGGCAGGCCUAACACAUGCAAGUCGAGGGGUAACAUAGAAAAGCUUGCUUUUCUGAUGACGACCGGCGCACGGGUGCGUAACGCGUAUACAACCUACCUUUUAGCGGGGAAUAGCCCAGGGAAACUUGGAUUAAUGCCCCAUAGUAUAUAGACUUCUCCUGAAGUUUAUAUUAAACAUUUAUGGCUAUUAGAUGGGCAUGCGUCCUAUUAGUUAGUUGGUAAGGUAACGGCUUACCAAGGCAGCGAUAGGUAGGGGUCCUGAGAGGGAGAUCCCCACACUGGUACUGAGACACGGACCAGACUCCUACGGGAGGCAGCAGUGAGGAAUAUUGGACAAUGGGCGAGAGCCUGAUCCAGCCAUGCCGCGUGCAGGAAGACUGCCCUAUGGGUUGUAAACUGCUUUUACAGAGGAAGAACCACCCCCACGUGUGGGGGUUUGACGGUACUCUGCGAAUAAGGAUCGGCUAACUCCGUG
rnacentral:rRNA from 1 species